GAUGAACGCUGGCGGCAUGCCUUACACAUGCAAGUCGAACGGUAACAGGUCUUCGGAUGCUGACGAGUGGCGAACGGGUGAGUAAUACAUCGGAACGUGCCCGAUCGUGGGGGAUAACGAAGCGAAAGCUUUGCUAAUACCGCAUACGAUCUACGGAUGAAAGCAGGGGACCGCAAGGCCUUGCGCGAACGGAGAGGCCGAUGGCAGAUUAGGUAGUUGGUGGGAUAAAAGCUUACCAAGCCGACGAUCUGUAGCUGGUCUGAGAGGACGACCAGCCACACUGGGACUGAGACACGGCCCAGACUCCUACGGGAGGCAGCAGUGGGGAAUUUUGGACAAUGGGCGAAAGCCUGAUCCAGCCAUGCCGCGUGCAGGAUGAAGGCCUUCGGGUUGUAAACUGCUUUUGUACGGAACGAAAAGACUCUGGUUAAUACCUGGGGUCCAUGACGGUACCGUAAGAAUAAGCACCGGCUAACUACGUGCCAGCAGCCGCGGUAA
rnacentral:rRNA from 1 species